GACGAACGCUGGCGGCAGGCUUAACACAUGCAAGUCGAACGCAUCGCAAGAUGAGUGGCAGACGGGUGAGUAACGCGUGGGAACGUACCCUUUACUACGGAAUAACUCAGGGAAACUUGUGCUAAUACCGUAUGUGCCCUUCGGGGAAAGAUUUAUCGGUAAAGGAUCGCCCGCGUUGGAUUAGCUAGUUGGUGGGGUAAAGGCCCUACCAAGGCGACGAUCCAUAGCUGGUCUGAGAGGAUGAUCAGCCACAUUGGGACUGAGACACGGCCCAAACUCCUACGGGAGGCAGCAGUGGGAAUAUUGACAAUGGGCGCAAGCCUGAUCCAGCCAUGCCGCGUGAGUGAUGAAGGCCCUAGGGUUGUAAAGCUCUUUCACCGGUGAAGAUAAUGACGGUAAACCGGAGAAGAAGCCCCGGCUAACUUCGUGCCAGCAGCCGCGGUAAUACGAAGGGGGCUAGCGUUGUUCGGAAUUACUGGGCGUAAAGCGCACGUAGGCGGGUAUUUAAGUCAGGGUGAAAUCCCGGAGCUCAACUCCGGAACUGCCUUUGAUACUGGGUA
rnacentral:rRNA from 1 species